AAUCAACGCUGGCGGCGUGCCUCAGACAUGCAAGUCGAACGCGAAAGUCUCCUCCGGGGGACAAGUAGAGUGGCGCACGGGUGAGUAACACGUAGGUAAUCUACCUUCGGAUGGGGAAUAACAACCGGAAACGGUUGCUAAUACCGCAUAAUGCAGCGGCACCUAAUGGUGACAGUUGUUAAAGCGGGGGAUCGAAAGACCUCGCGUCUGAAGAGGAGCCUGCGGCGGAUUAGCAGUUGGUAGGGUAACGGCCUACCAAGGCGACGAUCCGUAGCCGGCCUGAGAGGGCGGUCGGCCACACUGACACUGACAUACGGGUCAGACUCCUACGGGAGGCAGCAGUCGGGAAUUUGGGCAAUGGGCGAAAGCCUGACCCAGCAACGCCGCGUGAAGGAUGAAAUCCCU
rnacentral:rRNA from 1 species